UACGUAGGGUGCAAGCGUUGUCCGGAAUUAUUGGGCGUAAAGAGCUCGUAGGCGGUUUGUCGCGUCUGCUGUGAAAACCCGAGGCUCAACCUCGGGCCUGCAGUGGGUACGGGCAGACUAGAGUGCGGUAGGGGAGAUUGGAAUUCCUGGUGUAGCGGUGGAAUGCGCAGAUAUCAGGAGGAACACCAGGUGGCGAAGGCGGAUCUCUGGGCAAUAACUGACGCUGAGGAGCGAAAGCGUGGGGAGCGAACAGG
rnacentral:rRNA from 1 species